GACGAACGCUGGCGGCGUGCUUAACACAUGCAAGUCGAACGGAAAGGCCCUGCUUUUGUGGGGUGCUCGAGUGGCGAACGGGUGAGUAACACGCGAGUAACCUGCCCUUGACUUUGGGAUAACUUCAGGAAACUGGGGCUAAUACCGGAUAGGAGCUCCUGCUGCAUGGUGGGGGUUGGAAAGUUUCGGCGGUUGGGGAUGGACUCGCGGCUUAUCAGCUUGUUGGGGGGGUAGUGGCUUACCAAGGCUUUGACGGGUAGCCGGCCUGAGAGGGUGACCGGCCACAGUGGGACUGAGAUACGGCCCAGACUCCUACGGGAGGCAGCAGUGGGGAAUAUUGCACAAUGGGCGGAAGCCUGAUGCAGCAACGCCGCGUGCGGGAUGACGGCCUUCGGGUUGUAAACCGCUUUCGCCUGUGACGAAGCGUGAGUGACGGUAAUGGGUAAAGAAGCACCGGCUAACUACGUG
rnacentral:rRNA from 1 species